UGGGAAUGUAGCUCAGUGGUAAAGCACUUGCCUAGCAUGUGUGAGGCCCUGAGUUCCAUCCUCAACACACAA
rnacentral:tRNA from 1 species